CAGCAUGGUGGGGACAUUUUCUAAUAAAGUCCUUUAACCUUUCCUAUGUUUCAUGGAACAUUUCUCCAUCUAAUUGGGACAAACUAGUUAUAGCUUUUCUUAUUUG